CCUACGGGAGGCAGCAGUGAGGAAUAUUGGUCAAUGGUCGUAAGCCUGAACCAGCCAAGUCGCGUGAGGGAUGAAGGUUCUAUGGAUCGUAAACCUCUUUUAUAAGGGAAUAAAGUGUGGGACGUGUCCUGUUUUGUAUGUACCUUAUGAAUAAGGAUCGGCUAACUCCGUGCCAGCAGCCGCGGUAAUACGGAGGAUCCGAGCGUUAUCCGGAUUUAUUGGGUUUAAAGGGUGCGUAGGCGGCCUUUUAAGUCAGCGGUGAAAGUCUGUGGCUCAACCCUCGAAUUGCCGUUGAAACUGGGAGGCUUGAGUAUGUGUGAGGCAGGCGGAAUGCGUGGUGUAGCGGUGAAAUGCUUAGAUAUCACGCAGAACCCCGAUUGCGAAGGCAGCCUGCCGGGCCAUGACUGACGCUGAGGCACGAAAGCGUGGGGAUCAAACAGGAUUAGAUACCCGUGUAGUC
rnacentral:rRNA from 1 species